GACGAACGCUGGCGGCGUGCUUAACACAUGCAAGUCGAACGGAAAGGCCCUGCUUUUGUGGGGUGCUCGAGUGGCGAACGGGUGAGUAACACGUGAGUAACCUACCCUUGACUUUGGGAUAACUUCAGGAAACUGGGGCUAAUACCGGAUAGGAGCUCCUGCUGCAUGGUGGGGGUUGGAAAGUUUCGGCGGUUGGGGAUGGACUCGCGGCUUAUCAGCUUGUUGGUGGGGUAGUGGCUUACCAAGGCUUUGACGGGUAGCCGGCCUGGGAGGGUGACCGGCCACAUUGGGACUGAGAUACGGCCCAGACUCCUACGGGAGGCAGCAGUGGGGAUUAUUGCACAAUGGGCGGAAGCCUGAUGCAGCACCGCCGCGUGCGGGAUGACGGCCUUCGGGUUGUAACCCGCUUUCGCCUGUGACGAAGCGUGAGUGACGGUAAUGGGUAAAGAAGCACCGGCUAACUACGUG
rnacentral:rRNA from 1 species